GAUGAAGAACGUAGUGAAAUGCGAUAAGUAAUGCGAAUUGCAGAAUUCAGUGAAUCAUCGAGUCUUUGAACGCACAUUGCGCCCCCUGGUAUUCCGGGGGGCAUGCCUGUCCGAGCGUCAUUGCUGCCCAUCAAGCACGGCUUGUGUGUUGGGUCGUCGUCCCCUCUCCGGGGGGGACGGGCCCCAAAGGCAGCGGCGGCACCGCGUCCGAUCCUCGAGCGUAUGGGGCUUUGUCACCCGCUCUGUAGGCCCGGCCGGCGCUUGCCGAACGCAAAUCAAUCUUUUUCCAGGUUGACCUCGGAUCAGGUAGGGAUACCCGCUGAACUUAAGCAUAUCAAUAAGCGGAGGA
rnacentral:misc_RNA from 1 species